rnacentral:rRNA from 1 species
GACGGAAGGUGCAAGCGUUGCUCGGAAUCACUGGGCGUAAAGGGUGCGUAGGCGGCCGUGCAAGUCUGGCGUGAAAGCCCCGGGCUCAGCCCGGGAAGUGCGCUCGAAACUGCGCGGCUCGAGUGCCGGAGGGGAGAGUGGAAUUCCUGGUGUAGCGGUGAAAUGCGUAGAUAUCAGGAGGAAUACCGGUGGCGAAAGCGGGUCUCUGGGCAACAACUGACGCUGAGGAGCGAAAGCGUGGGGAGCGAACAGG